CGAUUAUCUCACAUCGUUGUCACCGAUCAAAUUCUGCACUUAUCCAUUACAGUAACCUAAGUUUCAACAAUCUAUUAUCGUACCUUAAAUGGGUUUGUUCCAUCUCCCCUUAUAUCUCUUUCUAUAUAAAGUGUUAUGUCUGAUCUUCAAUCAACCCUAAUAGAAAAAUCUAUACUGAAGAAGCUACAGCAACUGUCAUGAAAUCCACCGGUAAAUCUCCCUCAGCACCAGAAUGUCUUCAGAAAGCAAGGCCGAACCUUUAUUGUGUUUAGAGCUCCUUCUCAUCCAUGAACAGACAGGAAAACAGUACUUACCUCCAACGUAAUCCAUGGCGGUUGACUCCUUCUUUCCGAUCACUACAGCAUGAUAAAGUGAAUCUAGAGGAUGUGGGAUCUCAAUCGUUCCUCCGUUCUCCAAGUAUGAUGAAGUCGGCUUUAAGAAUAUAACUGGUUCCUGUUCGAAAGAGAGAAUCUGCAUACGAUUGGUUUACAGAGAAAGCGACUGAUUCCAGGAAUUGUGAGAGAAUCUGCAUACCUUGGGAAGGGCGUUGACAUGAGCGGCCUAGUUGCGACUGACGCCGACGAUCUUGGUGCCUUGCUUGAACUGCCUCUCUAUCAUCGACGUCGCCAUUUUCUCCGAUCUGAAUUCAAUCAAUACUCUGGUUGACUCUGGUGUCUAAGUAGAAUUACAUUGUUGUUCAAGUAAUAGACUUUACGAAUAUGUUGCCAUUUGUGAAACAUUUUCGCUGAUGUCUAUUCUUUUAAGAGUUAACCAAAAACAAGGAAUUUAGUUCUCAGUUCAGUGGUUAUCAGUUGUAGAGCAAACAGUGUUAUGUUUGCCAAUUUCAAGUAAUAUUAUAAUUCAGUCUCUCUUGGACUGAGAAAUCUAUUGUUUUCUAAAUUGUCUCAGGUAGUGUUCUAACACAAAGAUUUUCUAAGCUGGUUACUGCAGAUGAGGUUACCGGAGCUGAGAUCAUGAGAAUUGGGAAAAUCUUUGCUUACACCAAGCAGGAAUGCCAAGGUUAAAUAAAAGCCGAUUGUCAAACUAAGACCACCAGAGGCCCUUCUUCGUUGAUGUUAACCAAGUGUGGCAACACAACACUAACAUUGCUGGUGUAGCAAAAUCUCUGUCUACGACAAUAAUAGCCAGGCUUUUUUCGUCCUACUUGGUGACGCAGGACGUGAGUGGACAUGGAAGCAUGCCUCGGAAUUAGUUGACAACAACUUUGAGAUAACUAGCCAUCAACUGAAAAUCCUCUCCCAGUUCAUUAAAACUCACUUUAUUCCUCCUCAAUCGAGAACUUGGUUCUUACCAUGAGAUGCAUGCCCCCAAAAUUUAUUCGACACCAUUCGGCAAACACAUUAGUUCAGGGUCAAGAUGUCUGACUACAACUCCACAGACAAGACUCAAGCUAUAACUGUUACUAAGAUUGUCUCACCAGGAGUUCUUCCACCUGUAACAACUCAACUGAAAUCCCUCUUGAUGCAAACAAUGAAGUUGAUGUGCUCUCUGCAAGUGUCGUUGCGGGCUCUGGAUUCAAUACUGAUAAGCGAAAUGAAAGUAUCAGUAACAGGGAUGAAUCACAGAAGGCUAAGCGUCCGAAACGUGGAAAAUAGAGAGAUCAUACAACUCAUUUCAUACGAUGCAGUGUCACUGUCUUCUUUAUUUUCAUUUUGAGCCAAGACUAUGUUUUCUAUGUCUUAUUUUGAAUUUUCUGUCUUGCUUUGGUUUAAUAUUUGCAAACAGUAUGCUUCUUUCUUUAGGCUUUGAUUUCAUUGGAAUACAUACAUAAUG